AUGUCCGCCGACCGUCGAAACACGCCCUCUCCCUUGCAUGACGGGAUCGGGCUGGAAGGACAGCCACGGCCGCCACUGGCCGUCCUGCCGCAAUCUGAAGCAGAGCUGUCGUCGAGAAAGUCGGGAGUGGCCAUGCCGGAAUCUCACACCGUCGCCUGGAACGACGACCAUGGUGGUUCUACCUCUGGCUUGCACCAUGUAAACCUCGUUGAUGACAACAGUCGCUGCUUCAAAUUGUACCGUCCGUCGUAUACGAUGUCAGAAGCCACGACAUGCACCAUGGACUUGCCGCCGCCACAAGUCAUGUCAGGAGGAGGCCAGCAAGAUGACGCAGUUACGGAUGGUCGUGGAGAAAAUGGAGAGCAAACAAUCCAGGUUCCUGAAGUUGGGAAAACGUUUGAGUCAGAGAAAGACGCCUAUGACAUGUAUAACACAUAUGCUGGCAAAGUUGGAUUUAGUAUUAGAAAGAACCAGACAAAGCAUCGACAUGAUGGUACUAUAUAUCAAAAAAGAAUUGUUUGCAGUAACCAAGGCCAUCGAGAAACCGAGUCGUCGAAGGACGCAACAAGGACGGAUUGCAAUGCCCGUAUUCAGUUCAGUGUUAGCAGAGAGGGGAUUUGGACGGUGCAAAAGGUUGUAGCCGAUCAUAAUCAUUAUCUUGCUAGUCCCAAUAAGGUGCACAAACUGAGGUCCCAACGACGUGUUAUAGAAGCAGACAGACAUCUAAUUGGCCAGAUACGGGAAGCCGGAAUGAAGCCAUCCUAG
rnacentral:rRNA from 1 species